UGAGGAAUAUUGGUCAAUGGGCGAGAGCCUGAACCAGCCAAGUAGCGUGCAGGAUGACGGCCCUAUGGGUUGUAAACUGCUUUUAUGUGGGGAUAAAGUGCGUGACGUGUCAUGCAUUGCAGGUACCACAUGAAUAAGGACCGGCUAAUUCCGUGCCAGCAGCCGCGGUAAUACGGAAGGUCCGGGCGUUAUCCGGAUUUAUUGGGUUUAAAGGGAGCGUAGGCUGUCUAUUAAGCGUGUUGUGAAAUAUACCGGCUCAACCGGUGGCUUGCAGCGCGAACUGGUCGACUUGAGUAUGCAGGAAGUAGGCGGAAUUCAUGGUGUAGCGGUGAAUUGCUUAGAUAUCAUGACGAACUCCGAUUGCGCAGGCAGCUUACUGUAGCAUAACUGACGCUGAUGCUCGAAAGUGCGGGUAUCAAACAGG
rnacentral:rRNA from 1 species